UACGUAGGUGGCAAGCGUUGUCCGGAAUUACUGGGUGUAAAGGGAGCGCAGGCGGGAAGCCAAGUCAGCUGUGAAAACUACGGGCUUAACUUGUAGACUGCAGUUGAAACUGGUUUUCUUGAGUGAAGUAGAGGUUGGCGGAAUUCCGAGUGUAGCGGUGAAAUGCGUAGAUAUUCGGAGGAACACCGGUGGCGAAAGCGGCUCUCUGGCCUGUAACUGACACUGAGGCUCGAAAGCGUGGGGAGCAAACAGG
rnacentral:rRNA from 1 species